rnacentral:tRNA from 1 species
GAGUAUGCAGCUUAGUGGCCUUAAUUUUGCAAAAGUUAUUGAGAAGUUUGUUUCCAUACUCU